AGACAGAGGGUGCAAGCGUUAAUCGGAAUUACUGGGCGUAAAGCGCGCGUAGGCGGUUUGGUAAGUCGGAUGUGAAAGCCCCGGGCUCAACCUGGGAAUUGCAUUCGAUACUGUCAGGCUAGAGUAUGGUAGAGGGAAGCGGAAUUCCAGGUGUAGCGGUGAAAUGCGUAGAUAUCUGGAGGAACAUCAGUGGCGAAGGCGGCUUCCUGGAUCAAUACUGACGCUGAGGUGCGAAAGCGUGGGGAGCAAACAGGAUUAGAUACCCCGGUAGUCC
rnacentral:rRNA from 1 species